UGUCACGACCCAAAUUCUGGGUCAUGACCGGCGCAUGGAUCCAAUGGACGUAAUCCACUAAACCCAAGCAAGCCUAUUAUUUAUUUUACUUAUGAUUCUAUUUAUUAUCACUAAGUCCUAUUUCAUGACUUUGAGUCAAAAUAGUGAUAUACAUUGCCAACUCGUACUGGCAUUACUCUUUUAAAAUUUACAUUUAAGUUCAUCUAUACAUAACAAAAUAAUNN
rnacentral:lncRNA from 1 species